rnacentral:rRNA from 1 species
UACGAAGGGUGCAAGCGUUACUCGGAAUUACUGGGCGUAAAGCGUGCGUAGGUGGUUCGUUAAGUCUGUCGUGAAAGCCCCCGGCUCAACUGGGGAGGGUCACUCGAUACUGAUCGACUCGAAGGCAGGAGAGGGAAGCGGAAUUCCCGGUGUAGUGGUGAAAUGCGUAGAUAUCGGGAGGAACACCAGUGGCGAAGGCGGCUUCCUGGCCUGUUAUUGACGCUGAGGCGCGAAAGCUAGGGGAGCAAACGGG